GACGAACGCUGGCGGCGUGCUUAACACAUGCAAGUCGAACGGAAAGGCCCUGCUUUUGUGGGGUGCUCGAGUGGCGAACGGGUGAGUAACACGUGAGUAACCUGCCCUUGACUUUGGGAUAACUUCAGGAAACUGGGGCUAAUACCGGAUAGGAGCUCCUGCUGCAUGGUGGGGGUUGGAAAGUUUCGGCGGUUGUGGAUGGACUCGCGGCUUAUCAGCUUGUUGGUGGGGUAGUGGCUUACCAAGGCUUUGACGGGUAGCCGGCCUGAGAGGGUGACCGGCCACAUUGGGACUGAGAUACGGCCCAGACUCCUACGGAAGACAGCAGUGGAGAAUAUUGCACGAUGGGCGGAAGCCUGAUGCAGCAACGCCGCGUGCGGGAUGACGGCCUUCGGGUUGUAAACCGCUUUCGCCUGUGACGAAGCGUGAGUGACGGUAAUGGGUAAAGAAGCACCGGCUAACUACGUG
rnacentral:rRNA from 1 species